GUCAAACCGGCGACUGCGUUGGCGUUGCGGGCUCGGUCCGUCGGUGCCCCACAAAGGGCUAUCGGCGUGUCAACCGGCCCGCCCGUCCCCUCCUUCUGGAUUCCCGUUCCUGCUAUUGAGUUAGUGGGGACGUCACAGGGGGCUCAUCGUCGUCGUGCUCAAAACCGUGGCGGCGGUGGUUCCCUGGGGCCCAGAUCGUUUACCGUGAAAAAAUUAGAGUGUUCAAAGCAGGCAGAUCCAAUUUUCUGCCACCGAAUACAUUAGCAUGGGAUAAUGGAAUAGGACCCUGUCCUCCUAUUUUCAGUUGGUUUAGGGACUAGGGUAAUGAUUUAAUAGGGAUAGUUGGGGGCAUUAAUAUUUAAUUGUCAGAGGUGAAAUUCUUGGAUUUAUGAAAGAUUAACUUCUGCGAAAGCAUCUGCCAAGGAUGUUUUCAUUAAUCAAGAACGAAAGUUAGGGGAUCGAAGACGAUCAGAUACCGUCGUAGUCUUAACCAUAAACGAUGCCGACCAGCGAUUAGGAGACGUUGAAUACAAAACACCACCAUCGGUGCGGUCGUCCUUGGCGUCGGUCUUUCGGGGCCGGCGCGGGGACGGCUUAGCCCGGUGGCACCGGUGAAUGACUCCCCUAGCAGCUUGUGAGAAAUCAUAAGUCUUUGGGUUCCGGGGGGAGUAUGGUCGCAAGGCUGAAACUUAAGGAAUUGACGAAGGCACCACCA
rnacentral:rRNA from 1 species